rnacentral:rRNA from 1 species
GACGAACGCUGGCGGCGUGCUUAACACAUGCAAGUCGAACGGAAAGGCCCUGCUUUUGUGGGGUGCUCGAGUGGCGAACGGGUGAGUAACACGUGAGUAACCUGCCCUUGACUUUGGGAUAACUUCAGGAAACUGGGGCUAAUACCGGAUAGGAGCUCCUGCUGCAUGGUGGGGGUUGGAAAGUUUCGGCGGUUGGGGAUGGACUCGCGGCUUACCAGCUUGUUGGUGGGGUAGUGGCUUACCAAGGCUUUGACGGGUAGCCGGCCUGAGAGGGUGACCGGCCACAUUGGGACUGAGAUACGGCCCAGACUCCUACGGGAGGCAGCAGUGGGGAAUAUUGCACAAUGGGCGGAAGCCUGAUGCAGCAACGCCGCGUGCGGGAUGACGGCCUUCGGGUUGUAAACCGCUUUCGCCUGUGACGAAGCGGGAGUGACGGUAAUGGGUAAAGAAGCACCGGCUAACUACGUG